GAUGAACGCUGGCGGCGUGCCUAACACAUGCAAGUCGAACGGAAAGACACUAAGAGCGUUCCCUUACUGGUGGCGAGGGGCGGACGAGCGAGGAAUACAUCGCAUUCUACUUUGUCGUGGUGAAUAACGUGGGGAAACUACCGCUAAUACCUCAUACCUCCAACGGGUGGAUUCAGUAGAUUUUCCGGCUUUGGGUGAUUGAAUGAGCCGUUGUCGGGUUGGCUAGUUGGUGGGGUAAAGGCGCACCAAGGCGACGAUCCGUAGCUGGUCUGGGAGGAUGAUCCGCCACAGUGGAACUGAGACACGGUCCAGACUCCUACGGGCGGCCGCAGUGGGGAAUAUUGGACAAUGGGCGGAAGCUUGAUCCAGCCAUGCCGCGUGGGUGAAGAAGGGCUUCGGGUUGUAAAACCCUUUUGUUGGGGAAGAAAAGCUGCAGCAGAAUCCAAGGUUGUUCUGACGGUACCUAAAGAAUAAGCACCGGCUAACUACGUG
rnacentral:rRNA from 1 species